rnacentral:lncRNA from 1 species
UAUAAUAUAAUUAAAUAAAAAAUAGUUCUAAAAAAUAAAAUUAUUAAACUUAAUAAAGUCCACGACUUGAGUUACGAGUUUAACAUGUUAAGUUGUAAAGCUCGGAUACGUCUAAUAUAUCAUUGUCUUAAUAUUAUAAAAAAAUAUAUUAUCUUGAUUUUUUUUAAAUCAAAUUAUAUUUUUUAUCGAUUGUUUAAGUUGUUUUUAAAUAUGUAAAAUCGACUAAGUUACAUUAAAAUAAUAUAGUUUAAUUUUAAAUCUAGGUUAGAUAUGAAAACAUGUCAAAAAAUUUUAAAAUUUACUCAUUAGAUCAAAUUUAAUAACAAAUCAAAUAAUUUCCUAUGGUAUAAAAAAAUUUUAUGUUCAAUUUAUUUUCUUAAUCCAUUCAUAGCUUAGCGCAGUCCGAUAAAUGAGUAAAGACGCAAGAAGAGGAGUACAAACCAAUAUCAUAUAGCUUAACGGAUGCAGAGAGAUUGAAAAUGACUUCUUCUUUCAAGACCAGAAAAAGAUAACAAUCUUUACUUAUUCUCAACACCACUUGUGACCAUGACUUCUACAAAAGAAGCAAAAAAUAAGGAGUAUGAAAAUGCUUGAGCGCCAUGAUAUGGUCAAGAAUACAGAGCUGGUGCAUUUUAAAAGUAACAUCAGAAAGUAGAUUCAACUCAUCUGCAGGGGUGGCUGCGCCGUUGGAAGCUUCUUUGUCUUGGCCGAGCAGUGCAGAGGAAGAUGCGUGUGUGUUCUCUUUCCAGUCUCUUGCCAGUUAGCUUGGCAAUUACGAGCUGAUAUCUUGGACAUUGAAACAAUGAGAAAUAAUAAAUCUUACGACCAGAAAUUACUUCAACAAAACCUUAUUUGUUUUGCUUGAGAGCCAGUUCCUGAUCAUCAACCGGAGAGCCAGUUGGUUUCCUGAUCAUCAACAGGUCGAUUGAUAGGGCAGAACAAUCAUCAAUGUGUAUAUAUCAUCUAGAUGAUAUGCUGCAAAACAUGGUCGAGCUUAUGCUUCAACAAGCUUGUCCUUGACAUGGAAGAGCGAAUCGAGCACACUGUCAACUUGAUGUUAGGGAUAGUGCUGCAGUCAGCAGCCCCUCAAGAUGCUCUCUAUAAACUUGUCCUUGAUCUUCUUCAUUCUUUGAAGGGCAUCUUGAAUGUUGAUCGUCAUGUCAGGUGAGUCUUCACAGCAGUCGUGGGCCAACCUCAUGACAGAGGAUAUACAUUGUUCUUUGGAUUCAAUAUUUCUAGGUUCUGUGUUUAUCAAAUUGGAAUUUCUGAGGCAGGGUGCGUAACAAAAAUCCUAGCGUAUGAAGAAGUCUAGAAGUGUCAAAUAAACUUUUUAAUUAAAUACAUGGCUUAAUUUUUUAUCCAAUCGAGCUGAAAGUUUGUUAAACCAUUCUAUCAACCUUGUUCCCGUAAAGAUUAAGAAAACAACUUCUUCCAAGUCCCGGACCAUGGCUAAAUGAGGGCUAGAAGUUACAUUUUUUUUUUAUUUUCUUUACUGUAUCCGGAUUCUUUUUGCUAUUUAAAUUAUAACUUUUAAUUUAAUUAAUAAUUUACUAAUUAUAAUGUUUUUUUAUAUAUAUUUAAACAAUCUUAUAGGCUACUUUUCAUUGAAGAUCAUUGAAUGAUAAACUUUUCAGAAAAUAUCGGAGUUUUCUUUCUAUUUCUCUAUUAUUUUGGGAUGUAACCUUAGGGUUUGAGAACCCUACUUUUAUUCACGUUGCAUGCCACGCCAUUGGUAUCAGAGGAAAUUGGCUUUUUGAUGGAAGAAGAUGGUAGCAAUAACUCAUUCCACGAUGCAAGAGGUAGCACAAGGAACCCAAUCGCGGAAGCUAGGUUGUUUAAAGUAAACAGUGGCAGCAAUGUUGAAUAGCUUGGAACAUCUAGUUCAACUAAUAGGAGGCACAAACAAAAAUCAUGACGAGAAGAGAGAUGUACUCAAAGACUUAUCUCUGGGUAAACCAAACCCUAGAUCUAUUCCUACAAACUCAUAUAUGCCUCAUGUUUAUAUAGACAAUGGUGUUUACGAUAGAUGAAGCAUUGGAGACUUAACUCACAAUCAACCUUUUAAUAGAUGUAUUUUUGAGUUCGAUGAGAUUCAUUUCUAUAAAGUAAAAUUUUAUAAGAAUAGAUUUAUUAAUUGAUUGUCAGAGUUGGAAACUUACUUUUAUUUCAAUAAGAUUCUUUGUUAUUAGAAAGUAGAAAUUUCCAUACACAAACUUUCUUAUAAUGCUAAAGAAUAAUAGUUUGAAGUUCUAGAACAUACAACUCACACUAGUAAGCUUUUAAUUUCAUCAUAGCAAGCUUUAAGACAAUCAUUAAUUUUAGAGUUUGUGCAAUAUAAUUAUGAAAAGAUUUUAUAAUGAGCAGAUAAACAACUAGAUUAUAAUUAUUUCUCUUUUGUUCAACCUUUUCAAAAUUCAAAUAACGAGGAGGAAAACCAUAGAAAAGGUGUCAUCUCUUCAAAGUAGGCGGUUUCAAUGUCACAAUAAUGAUAACAACAACACUAUUACAAAUAUUGGGCUACUUGUAGAUAAUUCACCUACUAAUGGUGAAGAAGUCAAGGAAACUCCUAAAUUAAUAUCAUAUACUAAUUCUCAAAGUCUUGAAGCACUAUAAGAAAAUUAGGAUCCAUUAAGUUGGACAAUCUUGAAAAAAAAAUUAAAAUAGAACAAUCAAACACCAUCAUCUACAUUGCUCUCCAAAGAAAAGGGUCGUGGGACUGAAAUCAUGAUUCAAAGUAUUGAAGACUACAUUUAAAAAGUAAAAAUACUAACAUAUCCAUAAAAUUAUUCCUUACCAAAGAUAAUAAAAGAUACAUGAUUGCAUAGAGAACUUACAAAUGAGUUGGGAAGUCUGAAAUAAGCCUUAGAGAAUUAAUAUGUAGGUCUUGAGUUUAGUGAUGACCCGAUUAGAAUUUUAAAGGUGAAAUAAAAUAUUGAAGAUGUUAAUAACGUAGUGAGAGAACUUUUAGAUGUUUUUCAGCAUGCAGUGGACUUGCUAUAUUCAAAGUACAUAUUUCUUUAGGAUGGUCAGGUUCAAUUCUAAUAGUUAACUCGAGGUCAAGUUUUUCAUAAGUAAAAGGGAAUGACGUGGGACACAUAACAAAAAUUCUAACACAUGAAGAAGUCCAGAAGUGUCAAGUGAGUUUUCAAGUAACAAUUAGGCCAAAAAUUUUGAUCCAACAUUGAAUCGAGCUAAAAUUUUUGUACAUCGUUCUAAAAGCCAUGUUCCUUAUAAGAAUAAGAAACAAACUUCACCCAUAUAUGGUAACAUGCCAAAAUUAAACCUAGAAGUUACUGCUCAAGAUUUUUUUAUUUUUCUUGUAGUAUUUGGAUUAUUUUUUCUAUUUAGAUUAGUAUUUUUAAUUUAAUUAUAAUUUUACUUGUUAGUAUGUUUUUCUUGUAUUAAAAUAGCCUUGUAGGCUAUUUUUUUGUUGAAGAUUAUUGAAUAACAAACUUUUCAGAAAAUAUCAUAGUUUUCUCUAAUUUCUUAAUAGUUUGGGCUAUAAUCUUAGGGGAUAAAAACCCUAGUUUUUAUUCAUGUUAUAUACUGCAUCAACUAUAGUUAUUUUAGUUGAAAUUGAAUUAUAAACCCAAUACUUUAAGCUCAUUUCUCAAUUGAACAUUUCAUUAGUGGCUUGAAAAUAUUUCCAUCAACAUAAUUUUGUAACAAAAGACAUCUCGUUUAGGGGACAUUAUUUCUUAUGAUUCAUACUCUGCAUAUGUCAAGACAUGUAUAAUCUCAUCCUCAAUUAGUUAUUCAAAUUAAUAAAAGUAUUUAAUAUUUCAAAGAACAUGAAAAACCAAAUAAAAUAUGAAGCAUCAUAUAAGAAAAAUCACUUGGUGUUAUAUAUCCAAUUGUAACUAAUGUUGUUUUUUGUUUUCUUGAUACAUUCUCACUCAAGAGCUUUGCAAUGCCAAAGUCACCUAAAUGUAUAACCAUAUUGUCAUCAAUUUGGACAUUGUUGGGUUUCAAGUCACAAUGAACCAUAAGUGUGGGAUGACCAUGGUGUAGAUAUUUCACAGAAAGUGCAGUGUCUUAUAAGAUGUUCAAUCACUAUAGGAUAUCCUUGCAACACUUGUGAGAGUACAACAACAUUUUAAGGCUUCCAUUAAGCAUGUACUUUGCUAAAGCUUUGAAAUCAAUGUCGGUGAAGUUGCUAAUAAUAUUGAUGAGAUUUGUGACGAAUACUCCAUUUGCUUCACAUUCUAAAUCAAAACUUUUAAAUGCUUCUUCUACUUGCAGGUUGAAAGCCUUUAUGGCCAUAACCAUACCAUUAGCAAGGUUUCCUUUAUAUAUUGAAACAAAACUAACUUCACCAUGAAAGUUACUUUUGUCACAUCCACAGUUG